AGAGUAACACGUGAUGUUAGAUAACAUAAGGUAGCUAUAAAACAUCAGAUGUAAUGAUUUCAUUUGAUUUCAGAGCAGAACUUUUCGAAAGAUGGCUAACCGUUCAAUAUUGUUCCUUGUGACAGCAAUGGCAUUGAUAGUGCUGGUGUCAACUGUUUCAUUUCAACCCUCCGAAAUAGUUGCUGAAACCAAGAAAAUAAACAAAAUGCGUUUGUUCAAACGUCAAUCCGGGUGUUGCUGUCCUAUGUGCAUCGUUGGGUGUAGUUGCUGCUGUGGACCUCGAAAGAGAUAGAUUUUGUCCAAAGAAACUUAAAAUAUAAUUUUCGAACGAAAUGUUGUUAUUAUAUUUUUAUAAAUGAUAUACACUACAUGUUCUCUUAC